CCUACGGGAGGCAGCAGUGAGGAAUAUUGGUCAAUGGGCGUAAGCCUGAACCAGCCAAGUCGCGUGAGGGAUGAAGGUUCUAUGGAUCGUAAACCUCUUUUAUAAGGGAAUAAAGUGCGGGACGUGUCCCGUUUUGUAUGUACCUUAUGAAUAAGGAUCGGCUAACUCCGUGCCAGCAGCCGCGGUAAUACGGAGGAUCCGAGCGUUAUCCGGAUUUAUUGGGUUUAAAGGGUGCGUAGGCUGUGAGGUAAGUCAGCGGUGAAAUGCCCCCGCUCAACGGGGUGAAGUGCCAUUGAUACUGCCUUGCUGGAAUGCGGAUGCCGUGGGAGGAAUGUGUGGUGUAGCGGUGAAAUGCAUAGAUAUCACGAAGAACUCCGAUUGCGAAGGCAGCCUACUAAACUGCCACUGACAUUGAUGCUCGAAAGUGUGGGUAUCAAACAGGAUUAGAUACCCCAGUAGUC
rnacentral:rRNA from 1 species